rnacentral:rRNA from 2 species
GGUUAAGCGACUAAGCGUACACGGUGGAUGCCCUGGCAGUCAGAGGCGAUGAAGGACGUGCUAAUCUGCGAUAAGCGUCGGUAAGGUGAUAUGAACCGUUAUAACCGGCGAUUUCCGAAUGGGGAAACCCAGUGUGUUUCGACACACU